UGUAUAGUGGCAUUUAUAUGCAUGCGUGUGUGUAUAUAUAUAUAUACAUACACACAUACACACACACACACACACACACAC
rnacentral:miRNA from 1 species